rnacentral:rRNA from 1 species
UACGAAGGGGGCUAGCGUUGUUCGGAAUUACUGGGCGUAAAGGGCGCGUAGGCGGUGUGUCAAGUCAGGCGUGAAAGCCCCGGGCUCAACCUGGGAACAGCGCUUGAGACUGGCACGCUCGAGUUCGGGAGAGGAUGGUGGAAUUCCCAGUGUAGAGGUGAAAUUCGUAGAUAUUCGGAAGAACACCAGUGGCGAAGGCGACUCACUGGACACGUAUUGACGCUGAGGUGCGAAAGGCGUGGGGAGCAAACAGG